ensembl:ncRNA lncRNA:CR44530 long non-coding RNA:CR44530
ACUGUUGUCCAUUAAAUUACCUUACUUCCUGUGCCGAAAUGGAAAUAUAUGCAAAUCAGAUCUAGGCACGAACUGUGCUUAAUUUCCGCGUGGGUGGAAAAUCGAAAAGAAAGACCCUGCAAAUUGAAAUGCAAUCAAACAAAACAGUACAAAAAGGGAAGACAACCGAGUGGCUAUGGCACUGAAUUAUGUAUGCCAAGGAUGGCAGGACUCUGGAUCCUGUCGCAGUUGCAUUUUUGCGAGGGCACGUGAUUGCACUUGGCCGGUCCCAUGCAUUUAUUUGCAUAUUUACCGCCGGCACAGACGCUGCUGCAUUUACUCUGCAUUUACUCUGCAUUUACUUACUGCAUUUGCAUUGACUCCGAGAUUGCAGGCUAGCAGCAUCCACUUACACACGUCGGAAUGCCGGAUCUUUUGGCCGCGCACAGAAUGCAAAUUGCUUCGCCUCGGCAGUUGUCAACUCAACUCGCUCAGGACUAUGUAUGUAUAUAGACACAGGUUUACCCUUAAGACAGCAAUCAAUCCGGUUAAACGGAAUGCUGGGCAAUAAGUUCAACAGUGUUUAGUGCAGUCAAGCGUGUGCAGAACAGUGAUUUGAAUUCCAGACAGUAUUGUGUUCUACAGGUGU